rnacentral:rRNA from 1 species
UACGGGGGGGGCAAGCGUUGUUCGGAAUUACUGGGCGUAAAGGGCUCGUAGGUGGCCAACUAAGUCAGACGUGAAAUCCCUCAGCUUAACUGGGGAACUGCGUCUGAUACUGGAUGGCUUGAGAUUGGGAGAGGGAUGCGGAAUUCCAGGUGUAGCGGUGAAAUGCGUAGAUAUCUGGAGGAACACCGGUGGCGAAGGCGGCAUCCUGGACCAACACUGACGCUGAGUGAGCGAAAGCCAGGGGAGCAAACGGG